UGCAGUCGAGCGGAUGAAGGGAGCUUGCUUUCUGAUUCAGCGGCGGACGGGUGAGUAAUGCCUAGGAAUCUGCCUGGUAGUGGGGGACAACGUUUCGAAAGGAACGCUAAUACCGCAUACGUCCUACGGGAGAAAGUGGGGGAUCUUCGGACCUCACGCUAUCAGAUGAGCCUAGGUCGGAUUAGCUAGUAGGUGAGGUAAUGGCUCACCUAGGCGACGAUCCGUAACUGGUCUGAGAGGAUGAUCAGUCACACUGGAACUGAGACACGGUCCAGACUCCUACGGGAGGCAGCAGUGGGGAAUAUUGGACAAUGGGCGAAAGCCUGAUCCAGCCAUGCCGCGUGUGUGAAGAAGGUCUUCGGAUUGUAAAGCACUUUAAGUUGGGAGGAAGGGCAGUAAGUUAAUACCUUGCUGUUUUGACGUUACCGACAGAAUAAGCACCGGCUAACUCUGUGCCAGCAGCCGCGGUAAUACAGAGGGUGCAAGCGUUAAUCGGAAUUACUGGGCGUAAAGCGCGCGUAGGUGGUUUGUUAAGUUGGAUGUGAAAGCCCCGGGCUCAACCUGGGAACUGCAUCCAAAACUGGCAAGCUAGAGUACGGUAGAGGGUGGUGGAAUUUCCUGUGUAGCGGUGAAAUGCGUAGAUAUAGGAA
rnacentral:rRNA from 1 species